rnacentral:rRNA from 1 species
UACUUCGGUAGGAAUUUAAUAGCGCGAGCGGCGGAUGGGUGAGUAACACGUGGGCAAUCUACCCUUUAGCUUGGGAUACCACUUGGAAACAGGUGCUAAUACCAAAUAAGAAGUAAGAGCGCAUGCUCAAGCUAUGAAAGGCGGCUUUCGAGCUGUCACUAAAGGAUGAGCCCGCGGUGCAUUAGCUAGUUGGUAAGGUAACGGCUUACCAAGGCAAUGAUGCAUAGCCGAGUUGAGAGACUGAUCGGCCACAUUGGGACUGAGACACGGCCCAAACUCCUACGGGAGGCAGCAGUAGGGAAUCUUCCACAAUGGACGCAAGUCUGAUGGAGCAACGCCGCGUGAGUGAAGAAGGUUUUCGGAUCGUAAAGCUCUGUUGUUGGUGAAGAAGGACAUGGAUAGUAACUGAUCUAUGUUUGACGGUAAUCAACCAGAAAGUCACGGCUAACUACGUGCCAGCAGCCGCGGUAAUACGUAGGUGGCAAGCGUUGUCCGGAUUUAUUGGGCGUAAAGCGAACGCAGGCGGGAGAACAAGUCAGCUGUGAAAGCCCUCGGCUUAACCGAGGAACGGCAACUGAAACUGUUUUUCUUGAGUGCAGAAGAGGAGAGUGGAACUCCAUGUGUAGCGGUGAAAUGCGUAGAUAUAUGGAAGAACACCAGUGGCGAAGGCGGCUCUCUGGUCUGUAACUGACGCUGAGGUUCGAAAGCAUGGGUAGCGAACAGGAUUAGAUACCCUGGUAGUCCAUGCCGUAAACGAUGAGUGCUAAGUGUUGGGAGGUUUCCGCCUCUCAGUGCUGCAGCUAACGCAUUAAGCACU